AUGCAGCUUAUUGCUGAAGGAAGAUUCCGACAGGAUCUUCUAAGCAUGGCUGAAGUACCUGUGAGCAUCUCAACUUCUAACCACAACUACAGUGUCCAAAAGUCAGAAGUGGUGAUGGGAUAUCUGAGAGACAGAGGAACUUCUGAAAUGGAAGCGUGGUGGCUUCCUCUUCAUGAAAGACUUCAGUGUCUCUCAACACAUGUCAGCCAUGCACUGCUUAUUGUUUCUCCAGAGUGCUUUGCUGUGUUCAGAGACAGAUCUGGAAGAUAUGGAUUUUUUGAUUCCCAUUCCAGAACUGCUGAAGGUUUGCCACAUCCUACUGGUGACGGAACGGCAGUUAUGCUAACUUUCACCAACCUUCAUGACAUGACCAACAGAUUACUUGAGCUUUUUUGGAAUCGUGGUCCUCAAGCUUGCUAUGAAUUCAUGGCUGUUUCAUUUGAAAUGGAGCAACAGUCUGAGGAACCAUGCUCAUCAUUAGCAUGUGUGUCACCAUCAGAAGUAACAUCACCUCUGCCAAAAACACAAACAACUGCUGACAUCAGAAUCCCUGAAAAUCUUGUUCAGACAGAUUACAAAAACAAAAGCGUCAUAAAGGUUUUAAAAACAAACAAGCAGCGAAGAAGAAAGGAAAUGCGCAAAAUUGUUUAUGAAAAGCAAGAUGCAGGACUUGAGGGUACAUCUUUACAUUUUGAAGUACGAAAACAAAAAAGAAGAGAAUAUGAGAGAGAGAAAUAUGCCACCAAUUUUCAGUUUCGGAUGAAGAAAAAGGAGAUUACCAAAAAGAAGUAUGAUCAAGAUCCUUUUGCCAGACACAAAAAGAUGGAAUACAUUACCAGGAGGUAUAACAAGGAUGUUCUCUUCCAAAAAAAGCAGAAGGGGUACAUAAUUAAGCGGUACAACACUGAUGCUCUUUUCCAGAGGAAAAUGAAGAACUACAUGUUCAGGAGGUACAAGAUGGAUGAUCUUUUCCAAAAGAAGAAGAAGGACUACAUGUUCAAGAGGUACAAGACCGAUGACCUUUUCCAGAAGAAGAAGAAGGACUACAUGGUCAGGAGGUACCACACCGAUGCUAUUUUCCAGAAGAAGAUGAAGGAUUACAUGGCCAGAAGAUAUGCAAGUGAUUCAGAGUUUAGGUCACAUCACAUUCUACGCUGUACUCUCCAGAAGAAACAGAAGUGUCUCAGUGAUCCUGGAUUCCACAUUCUUCACAAGUUGAGGUGUGCAUUAAGGAUUAAGAGAAAAUACAGGCCAUACAUUCGUUUCAGCCAGGAGACACCCAAUUCUGUUGCGACAAACGUGCCUGUGUCCUACAGCAUAAUGCAAAAGGCCAUAUCUGCAUUUCGGUGUCAAAUUCUGCAUGGUCCAACUUACAUCUGCACAGUCUGUCACAGGACCCUUUUUCCAAAUCAAGUCAAGAUGUGUAAUAGAACACGGUAUGUCAAAAAUGUUCAUAUUACAGCCUCUUGCUUAACUGGGAAAUAUGUUCAUGCU
ensembl:lncRNA